AGUUACUUCCAAGAAUCCUUGGCAUAAUAGGCCAUGUUCUACUAUUGCUCUGCAUCUUGAACUCCUAUUGUUGUUUAUAGGAGCUCUGUCUAAAGGCUUAGGGGAGAAUAGGGGCCAUUGUAUUUUUAUAGCUGGUUUUUUGGGGUUUAUUUUGUUUGUUUGUUUGUUUUUUGAUGUGCAAGUUUGGAUUUCCCAGCACUAAUGCAGUGACUAAUCACCACUGAAUAACUGCUGCAUAGCUAUUUCUGCACCUGAUUCCCAAGGGUAAAGUGGUUGGAAUAAUGGAUUAUUCCAAGUUUGUAUUUUUACAUGACACCUUCUAUAUGCUGUGUGCAGAGUUUAUUUUUGUUUUUUAACUAAGAAGUAAAUCAACUGUGUGCUGAUUUUUGUGCUGCAGGCAAUUUCAUUUAGAGUUUUUCGUGCUCACAAUUGCAUUCAGUGUCAAGUCUGACCUUUUCAAACUUACUGUAAAUUAAGUUGGGUGGGGAACAGAAGGGUCUAACAAGACAAAAAUCAUUGUGUCUUAGGCAUGUACUGAAGUUUAUUUAUCCUUUCUUUACUGGAACUUGGAAAGCAUGCCAGGCUGCCUGAAAUACAGGGGAAACACACAGUGAAAUCUUCAAUAGUUAUUAAUAUGGAAGCUCUUGAUAUGAUGGGCAUAUAAAGUACAUUUCGGUCAACACAUGUGCAGGUGUUAAGCACAAGAUUAUACAAUUCAUCUGAGAGGUUUUAAUACAGCAACAAAUAAAUGCAAGGAAAUACUGGAUUCCUUCUUUUUUUGUACCUCCUUUCCAUCUUUUCUACCCUUCUUCCAUUUUUUUCUUCUUUGUAUUCUUCUUUCAAGAACAGUGCUGGAGGAUGGGGAAGGAUAUGAAAACAAUAUGAACUAUUGAUGGAACUGCUGAUUUUAAUAGCACUUCACCUACUUCCAUGCCACUUUUAGAAUUCACUCUUUACACAAUACUUUUUUUUUUAAUGAAAGUGUGUAAUAGCAAUGCAGCUACAAAUUGCUGCCAUGAUAGAUGGAAGAACAUGAUACAGUUUUAGGACUACUUAGUACAAAAGGUAAUUCAUACUCAUAAUAUUAUAUACUAAACUAAUAAACAAUCAGAUUGUAAUGACAUCUCACUGUGAAUUAUUUUCCAGUGCUUAUCAGCAAAAGAUUAACAUGGUGUUUGAGCUGCAGUUUCAGCUUGAAAGGACAGUGUGUAGAUCCUUCAUCUUCAUGUUAAUGAAAGGACACUGUAUUCACGCUGAUUCCUUAUUGGUAUGAUAUGAUGGAUCCAAGCGUGCCGGUCUAGACCCUGGGCUGUGGGUGACCUGGAUCUCUGACAUGUCCUGCUUGCCACCAAGGAAGAUGGACAAAGCAACAUCUCUCCAGUCCUGGUACACCAGGCCCCAUGGGAAGUCCUGUUGGAGCACCCAAGGCCUGCAGCUGCCUGAUUGGCUCACUCCUGUUACUUAAGCCAGGAAGUGACUCAGGUGGGCUGUCCAAUCAACUGUGAAGACUUGCUGCAGCAGCUGGAGCACCACCACUACCAUCACCACCACCAUCAUUGGACCCUGCUCUUGCCUGCCUACUGCAAUCUGCAAACCCUGUUCCUGGUCUGCUCCUGGCUUCCCUCUGCUCCUAACUCCCACCUUGCCCCUGAUCCUUGCCUCUCCUCUGGUUCCUGCCCUGAGGCCUUGCUUGUAAUCAUUGGCUAUCAUUUCUGGCUCUGACCCCUGGCUCUGAGUCUGGCUCAACCCUUGGCUCUGGCAUUGGUGUCUGAGCCUGGUGCCGAUCGUCAGCUUUGAGUCCUGGUUCUGGUCCAUGACUCUGGCUCUACCCCUGCUUCUGGUAAUUGACAGCUGACUCUGGUCUGACCCCCACUUCUGUUUGCUGGCCUGCCUGCUCCACCCACUAGACCUGAAUUCCUGCUCUGACCACUAGGCAAGAUUGCCUACGUCUCAGUUCCUAACGCACCCUUUCAUUAGUUACUACUUCUGCUAAAACCCUGUUGUUCUUCCCCCUCAGCAUGUAACUUACACCUGCUUACUAGGGUUGUAAUUUACACUAUUUAUCUCCCUCUGAAUCUGGUUCAUAAUCUUUGCUUAAGAUAUUAAAAUAGUGAUACAUUGUACCCUUGACUAAUUAGAGCUCCACAAACAGGUCUCUAAUAAGACUGUGUUUAAUAAAGACUUUUGUUGCAAUGA